AUGAUGGUGCCACUUUCUAACACCUGUUCAUUCUCUCUCUCCCUCUCUCACUCUCACUCUCUCUCUCUCGCUCACUCGCUCUCUCCCUCUUUCCCUCUUUCGCUCUCUCUCGCUCUCCCUCUCGCUCUCUCUCUCUCCCUCUCUCACUCUCUCUCUCCCUCUCUCACUCUCUCUCUCUCUCGCUCGCUCUCUCUCUCGCUCGCUCCCUCCCUCCCUCUCUCUCUCCCUCACUCGCUCUCUCCAGGCAUGCAGAAACCACCAGUUGCCCCCAAACCAAAGAAUGCCCAGCCACAGAGGCCAGGACCCUCCCCCUCCUCGACCCCCAAAAGAGAUGGCCUUUUUCAGGCUUCCCUCUGUACACCAAAGACGGUUAAACCAGCUCUGGCCCCUAAACCACCAUGCCUACCCAAACCAUUCCUCACCACUUCUGUGGAGUCCAAACCACCAUGCCUACCCAAACCAUGCCUCACCGCCACUAUGGAGUACAAACCUCUUUCCUCAAAGACUGUCCAUCACCAUCAGACUUAUUCUCAGAGACCAUCGGAGAUGUCUACAAGUAUAGGUCUUCUGAAGUCCAGGAAUACAAUACCUGAUUGGGAUAAUAUUAUUCCUAUCUGUCUGUGUAGCCAGAAGAACUGUCUGUGUGUUGGGAACAGUAUCACAACGGACACAGUGAUUAACACAAUUCCUAAAGACUUGAAAACAUUGCAUAACAAUUGCAAAACGGAGGAAUCUAGAAUAAAGCCUGUUCUCAGAUCUCGAUCUGGAGUGAACAAAGGGGUCAACAACAACAAGAGGAAAGUAGUCAACAACGCUCUACCAGACAAUUGCGUACAGGUUGUGUUGCUGUCCACCAAUAACCACCUCUUAAACCCGAAACAGAACCUCAACUCAGACAUUGUGACGCCAUCAUCACGCCCUGACAUAAAGCGCCCUCUUCCUCAGAGAACGCAUAGCAAUGAAGCCAACGGUAACGUCGUCUCCACCUCCUCUAAUGCCAUUGGUCACGGAGAACAGGAAGAUCCCACCAGCUCCACAGGGAUUGGCAGAGACACUGGCACAUCCAAUCAGAACCCAGCUGCCCCUAAGAAGCCCCUCCCUGUCCCCGUACCACGGAAACCCAGGAAGUCUGUUCUGGUUGGACAGGAAGUCCCAGAGGAGGGGAGGCAAGGGAGGGAAAUGACUGUCAGAAAGGUGUCACUGGAGAGGAAAAGCAGCCCAUCUCUGUCUGUCAACGCACCUGCUACUCAGGCACACAACAUCCCAGAAAGUCCUGCCAGUACAAAUGAUAGCUGGGAGGGUCUCCCAUCCUCCAGGACACCCGGCCCGCCACCUGUUCCUGCUCCCCCUCCCAGAAAGGAAGCCUUUCUUUCUGAACCUGAGAGAGCAGCACCGACCUCCUCUGCCACCUCCUCUCAGCACCUCCUCCCCACCUCCUCCCCUCUGCACCUCCUCCCCUCCUCUUCCUGUCUGCACCUCCCUCAGGAUGUAGAGGAGGAAGAGCUGAGAUGGGUGGAUGACGGUGUCUAUGAACUGGAGUGUUCAGUGGACAAGGAAGAGGAGGAGGAAGGGAGGAAUGAAGAGGAGGAGAUCCAUGAUAAGACUGGUUGCGAGAGGAUGACAACUAGUCUUUCCAACCAGCUGGAGCUCAGCUCCAACUGCCACUUUCCCCUCACCUUAAUAACCACUGGGAGUUACAAAGAAAACGCAAGUGCUCAAAACAAGAUGGCCGGCUUCCCCAAGAAACUGCAGAGACGCAGCUCCCCAGCAGCGUGGGUACUGAAGAAUGAACUGUCAGAAGAGAGAGAAGUGGAGGAACGAAAGACUUCCGAUAGUGACGAUGAUGGAGGUGCCCUCACCAAGGCCACGAAAGCUAUGAGAAAGCUCCCUGCAACCCCAGGAGAGGAUAAACCAAAAAGGAACAGAAUCUUUCAGACGCUGGUGUCUCCUGUAUCCCGUAAGAGGAGCACAGACAACACACAGACAAAGGGCAGCUUGCCAACAGAUGAAACGCUGUCACCGUCCAAGCCGUCUCGCUCCAGCCGGGGGAAACAGAAGGCCAAGUCCUUCUCCUCUGCCGACCUGACCCCCUCUGAGGGACAGAAACGGAACUCUUUUCGGAGGCUUCUCGAUCUGAAACUCUCUGUCAAGAGGCUGCCCAAGCUGCUAGCCAAGGGAGGCCAGUCUCUAGACAGCACUGCAGCUGAGGCAGAACAAUAUGCGGAUGAUGUAUUCCAAGACCGUGGCGUCUGUUUCCAGGAACGCAUGGGCAUUCGAGUGGGGGAUGCCCGCAAGUUCUCCUGUCCCCAGCUGGGGGUGAUUGGGGUUGGGGCGGAGCAGAGCGUGGACGGGGAUGAGAUCCACUACCCCGGAGCGGAGCAGGCUGUGGAGUAUGAAAAUGUUCCCUAUUACGAGGCCAUACCUGAAUAUUUUAUCCAGCCUGUUGGACUGGGAUUACGGGGGAGUGAGCUCGGGGUGGGUACACCACCGGACCAGUCGGAGUGCCACAACCACCUGUAUGAUGAUGCCGAUAUCUAUGAGGAACAGGAGCCGUACCAUCCCCUGAAGAGACACAGUGAACACAGCAGCACUGAGGAAUUCUUCUAUGAGGAACAGGAGCCGUACCAUCCCCUGAAGAGACACAGUGAACAACAACUGAACCAGCACAGCAGCACUGAGAGGAGUUCUAUAGAUGAGGAUGUUGGCCCGCUAGAUGAAGGUCAGUCGGAUGAAGACGUCAUGGUUCAGAGUUCAGAUGAAGAGGAUGAUGAGAGUUCCUCCUCUAGCAAAGGAGAAACUGAGAAGCCUGAGGAGAGGGAGGUGAGACACUGAGGAGAGGGAGGUGAGAAGCCUGAGGAGAGGGAGGUGAGACACUGCGGAGAGGGAGGUGGAGGACACUGAGACGCCUGAGGAGAGGGAGUGAGACACUGAGGGAGGGAGGUGAGACACUGAGAAGCCUGAGGGAGGAGGUGAGACACUGAGGAGAGGGAGGUGUGGACACUGAGGAGGGAGGUGAGACACUGAAUGUGCCACUUAGCAGACGUUCUCUACACAUGUAAAGGGACUUACGGUAACGUCACACAUGCAUUUCUAGGAUCUGAUCCCUGGCGUAUUGAAACCAAUAACUUUGGUGAAUGUAGUGAUUUAUUUGACAUGUUUGUACCUGUGUCCGUGCAGGCUGGCGUGGUGCCAAGCGGAACAAGAUAGUCCACAUCGCCAGAGAGAUCUGAGCUCCGAGAAUGUUUUCAACGUCUGAAGCUUCUCCAUAUGGUGGUAUUCUGGC
ensembl:lncRNA